rnacentral:rRNA from 1 species
AUUAGUAUUAGUUAGGUUCUUGAAAUUUAAAAGAUUUGGCGGUAUUUUAGACUUUUCAGAGGAACUUGUCCUUUAAUUGAUAAUCCACGAUUUAAUUUACUUUUUUUUUUAGUUUGUAUAUCGUCGUUAUUGAAAAUUUUUAAAAAAUUAUUAAUUUUUAGAAUUUUAAGUUUAAAAAUAAAUCAGAUCAAGAUGUAGUUAAUAAAAAAGUAGUGAUGAGUUACAUUAAAUUAUUAAAUAGGAUAUUUAUUUGUAAAAUAAAUUGAAUAUGGAUUUGAAAGUAAUUUAAAUUAAUUAAUUUAAAUGAUUAAGCCCUAAAAUAUGUACACAUCGCCCG